rnacentral:rRNA from 1 species
UAAUACAGAGGUCCCAAGCGUUGUUCGGAUUCACUGGGCGUAAAGGGUGCGCAGGUGGUUUGGCAAGUUUGACGUGAAAGCCCCGGGCUUAACCCGGGAAUGGCGUUGAAAACUGCUUGAACUGGAGGGUUGGAGGGGGGACUGGAAUUCUUGGUGUAGCAGUGAAAUGCGUAGAUAUCAAGAGGAACACCAGUGGCGAAGGCGAGUCCCUGGACAAACCCUGACACUGAGGCACGAAAGCCAAGGGAGCAAACAGGAUUAGAUACCCUGGUAGUCUUGGCUGUAAACGGUGCGCAUUUGCUGUAAACGGAAUCGACCCCGUUUGUGGCGAAGCUAACGCGUUAAAUGCGCCGCCUGGGAAGUACGGUCGCAAGAUUA